rnacentral:rRNA from 1 species
AGUGAACGCUGGCGGCAGGCCUAACACAUGCAAGUCGAACGGCAGCACAGUAAGUGCUGGCUCUUACGGGUGUCGCGUGGCGGACGGUUGCGGUAUACACGGAAUUCUACUUCUUCGGGGGUGCUAACGUAGGGAAACGUACGCUAAUACCACAUAUGUCCUACGGGGGUAAGCAGGCGAUCGUUUGACUUUUUGCGAUGGUAUAAGCCUAUGUCGGAGGAGCUAGUUGGCGGGGUAAAGGCCUACCAAGGCGACGAUCCGUAUCUGGUACGAGAGGGUGUUUAGAUAGACUGGAAGUGAGACACGGUCCAGACUCCUACGGGAGGCAGCAGUCGGGAAUACUGGACAAAGGGCGAAAGGCUGAUCCAGCAAUACCGCGUGAGUGAAGAAGGCCUUCGGGUUGGAAAGCCAUGUUGGUGGGAAAGAAGAAAAGCAGUUUAACACCCGACUGUAAUGACGGUACCCAAAGAAUAAGCACCGGCUAACUUCGUG